GCGUUCGCUUGACUGCGGAAGUGGAUACAGACAGCUCGGGUUGGUCUGAGUUUUGGGAGCUUUGCGCGUGUGCGAUCGUUACUGCUUUCCUCUGGAAAGAUGCCGGGACUGGCUGCCGCUAGCCCUGCCCCGCCCGAGGCUCAGGAGAAGAAGCCUCUGAAGCCCUGCUGUGCCUGCCCGGAGACCAAGAAGGCGCGUGAUGCGUGCAUCAUUGAGAAAGGAGAAGAACACUGUGGACAUCUCAUCGAGGCCCACAAGGAGUGCAUGAGAGCGCUGGGAUUUAAGAUAUGACAUGGUAAGUGAACUCUGUUGCUUCACGUCUGAGUGUCACCUUAGAGAGUCAACUACAAGACAGCAUUCUCCUAAUGGUAGCUUGCCUGGUUAAUCUAGCAUGUUUAAGUAGCAGCUUAAAAAUAACUUUGCAGUUUCUAGCAUGGGGUUGUAAUGGUUUGGUGCCAACAAUUUGAGGCACCCAUUAGAUCUGAGACGGUAUGAAGCUUUUGAGAACUGGCUUGAUAAGGGCCUUUAGUUACAUUGUAGUCAGGGAGAAGGCAUAGCCGUGGGAGGCACACUAUUUUCCAAGGUGAAGGAACUAAGUGGAAAAUAUUCUGUUUCCUGUUUCUAAUAUGGGUCUGCAGUAAAACGUGUUACUUUUUUUUCUAGUGAAAAUGGAAGCUUUGUUUUAAACCAGGCAUUGUUCUAAUAAAACUAACCCUUAGUAUUUGAAUAACUUUGAAUCUAAAUAUCAAUGUCUGGAGGGAUAUGUGUGACAAGACCACAGUCCAUGACUUCUGGUUGGAAUCUCUUGCUUCAGGUGUUAACUUUGCUCACUAGUACACUUCUUUCCAGAUACUGAUUUAAAGUCUUAUUAGAGAGGCCCUUUCCUCAUCGCCUCAUGUAAAGUAAUAGCCUUCCCUGUCACUGUUCCAGCCAUACCCAGUAGGCCUUCCCAGGUGUUCUGUGGCCACACUCUCCAGUACGGUAGCCACUAGCAAUGCAUGACUGUUAAGCAUAAUGAGUCUGGGGAAGAAUUUUAUAAAUUCUUAAUUUAUAAAAAGGUUAGUUGUCAGAUGUGGCCAGUGGCUACUCUUGUUUUUGCAGUCACCACCUAUAUACUGAGCCUCUCCUUAUAACGACCGUCCUUGCUUCCCUCCAGCUGGGCUGUAAGCUCUGGAAAGUAUCUGGUUCACUGCCAGCAUGUCUCAGCACCCGGCGCUGGCUAGGGUGCUGUGUACUAAAUGGACGAGUGAAUGGCCAGGGACCAUAGUGGUGGCUCCGUGGGGCAGGAGUCCCGAGAUGGCUCAGCAGGACGAGAACCGGAAUCCCAGCCUCCAGCAAGCACCCUGUUUGUGCUGCUUGCAGACCCACAUCUCACUGUCACUCCUAACUUAGCCACGGUUGAGAGAUACCAAGGCCACAUGCCAGUGUCACAGUAGUAGAGAGCUGGCUUCUUCCUCUCCCACCUCUCUAGAGUCUCACACAUGACCAGUUGUGUUUGAAGUGCAGUAAGGAGAUAAGGAGCUCGCCCUACCUGAUAGUCCUGACUGGAGGAGAAGAGACUUUAAGGCUCAGAUCCGGCAUCCGUGGGUGGCUUUCUGCACGGUCCAGCUCUUUCUAGUCAGUUGUGUUAAGCUUUGCCUAGAACCUCGUGGGGAAUUGGAGGGUAGUGGUAGCAUUAGACCAUUGCAUCCUCCAAACCAGAGGCACUUUGUGUUACUCCUAACUGAGUGACAUUGCAUUGCCAGCACACUCAGCUUUAGGGUUUCACAUCACCGAAAUCUUCAAUCCUAAGACUUAUAAUGAAGACUGAUUUAAAAGAUCUGCUGCUGGAAUGCAUGGGAACGUUUAGCCAAAGGCUCUGACUGUAGUAAACUCCCACACAACUCUCUACACUGCUCUGAGGUGAGCUUGAUAGACAGCUAGACCAUAUUCUCUGACAACCUCUUCAGAGGAAAAACACUCCACAAACCUGGGUUGCUCCAGCAAUGGUCAUAAAAGUCCCUUAAUUCAAAAACCGUCAUAGAUGCUGACAUUAUUAUUCCCAAGGAAAAUAGAUCUUAAUUGGACCUGGCUCGCAGAGAUGGGGUGUAAGUGUUACCUCCUCUCUUACACUCUGAAUAACAGUGUUGUCCAAGCCUCAGGAGCACCUAAGUGACCUUUCCAGAAUUCACAAACCCUGCCUCCUCACCUGUUGACUCAAGCUCCCAGAUGAUUGCCAAGUCCUUAACAUUAAAUAUGCUAACACUAAGGAAACAAUUGUGAGCAUGCCAAAUAGAAACUACCUGAGGGUUUAAUGGUAGCAAAGGCAGAGAGUUGAAGCUAAAAAGAAAAAGUAGGUAUCAUGGCCGUGAGCCCGGAUUGUUCUUUAAAUCUUAUAACUUUUUUUUACUGACAGAGAAAGUAGAAAACAAAUUCACCACCUAAUUAGAAAUAUCCAGAAGUGAGUGGCGCUUCCUGAUUAUAAGGGUCAAAAGAAAAUGGGAAAUCUGCUAAAAUCCAUAUAAAGUAAUGGUCAUGCUAGUUUUUGUUUGUUUAAGUGAACUUUCAAUUUGAGUGUUUAAAUGAGCCACCUUUAUACAUAGAUUAUUUACAAAGGUAUCUCAAGAUAAUGCAUGAAUCAAGACAGAACACCUAUUAAGACCCUAUGACAUGCCUAAUGCAAAAGACAGUCCCACUUGCCGGGGACCCUCCAUCCAGAGAAGAACUAGAGUCUGUCCACCAUCACAUACAGAUCCUCAGAUCUGUGCAGUGCCUGAGUAUAGGUGCUGGAGGCUGUGGAAACGGGGUUAGGCAGCUCCAUUUCUGCUUCUGUUUCCUGCCCAUACCUUAAGUGUAUUGUUUUCCUUCAAGCUUAUUAGGAAAACAGGGAAUUUAGGUGUCUGUGUCUUGGUGAGGCUAUUUUCCUGUCUAAACCAAACAAAGGGAAUGGGUUUAGGAAGUUCUUGAAUUAGUCUUAAGAAUUGGCUGCCCGAGCGGCUGUCACCUUUUCAGUGGUUUUCUCCAUCUUCUUAACAGGGACUAGGGUGGAGGUGUCAUGGCGAGAAGCUGGCACCCUGAGACUAGGCCAGCAGUACUGUCCUCUGAGGCCCUCCCUCUGGGUAUUUCGCUGUGGCUCUUAUUAGCCUGCAGGCCAAGGAGGAGCUUCCCACAGGAACAAGUGUACUGAACUGACCUUCCUUCUACCUUUAACACAGCGAGCCCAGUUCUUGAAAGAGCAGGACGUACAGCCUCUUUCUUAAUGUCUGUAGAGACACAGUGCCUCACCAAAAGCUCCUAAAGGUCAGACAUUGCAACCAACAGUUUCAGGGGGGUCGUCAGUUAAGCUAAGCUGCGGUUUUGACUUGUUUAGAAUGUAACAAUAUUUCAGUGAAGCAUUUAUUUCUGGUGGCCGUAAGUCCAUAACCCCUAGGUCCAGUUUGAUGUCUGAACUCUGACUUUCUAAAAUCAAAUCUCUUCUGUAGGUGGCCCACUUUGUGAAUGAAUAAGCCCUGAAGAAUGAAGAAGAGUAAAUAUUUUGGAAGUUCUUUGAUGAACUUUGAUAAGUGGAUAAAGUAUUUAUAAUUUAUUAAAAAACAAAAGGAAAGAAAAUGUGG
ensembl:lncRNA